UAAAGGGCGUUUGCGACAAAGAUCACUCAUCGUUACAGAUGGCUAAAGAACUUUAAUGUGGCUGGCCUCGUAUUACUAUAUCAGCACCAUUCAAGCCCGGCCCCCUCGUGACUAUAAACUGGAUGUGAGGCGUGGCACACUCUAUUGCCACAUCUUCUAUCGGUAUACUCUAAAAGCUUCAUCAACAUUUUCUCUACUUUACCAAAACAAGAGGAAAACUCAUUUCUGAAUCAAGCUGGUUGUGCGAGCAUCAUCAUUACCAACAAUCAAUAGAGGGAAUGGAAUCGGCAGAGAGCGGUGUUGGAGCUCAGUUAGAAGAGUUCGAAUUUGAGAAGAAAAAUAGAUGGGAUUUCAGAUUUUUGAACAAACAGAAUUGGUUUUGGCCUUUGGGAUUAGUUGUGUCGUGAAAUCAGCCAAGAAGGAGCUGUACUUUGGAGUUGGAGAUUUAAUCGCGGCGAGUGAACGACAACAACAAUAACAACAGAGAAAGGGGUUAUAGGCUGGAUUCAAGCCUAGAAAUCAUCGAGAAGAGCAAGGAGAAGAAGCUAUUCAACAACAACAGAAUGGUUUCGCUUGUGAACUGGUGAUGCUCAAGUAGCUCUUCUCAAUCGAUUUGUUGUGGACAUAUGGGGUUCUCAGUUUGCUAGUAUGAACUGAAUUUGAAGAUAACACUCGAAGCAUUCUUAAAUUGUUUUGUACAACGGCAACAUCAGAUGGAAGUGGGUUUGUUGUCGUGUCCGGAGCUGGGUAUAAAUGGAGUUUCUCGAUUGAGAAACAAAAGCAGCAACAAGAGGCAGUGGUGAUGGUCUCUGCAAUUCAAUGGGUUCGCUGCAAUUCGUGAUUUCUUACACAACAGAUCUGGGGGUUCAAUGCGGUUAAUGGGAUGUGAAUGGAGAUUUAUGAGAGGAUGCAGAUGAUUGAAUGAAAUAGAAGUUUGUGCAGUGAUGGUGGAGAUGGCUGGUUUAUACUUCAAAGUCUUGGUCUCGAUUGAAAAGUAAUUUGGCAGAAGAGAAGCGUGGUUCUGGAUGGGUUAGAUCAGUCGAGCAAAAGCAACACAGAACUGUGGCUUCCAUUGUUACAUCUGCAGGCUAAUGAUGAUGAGAUAAAAGAGUACUGAUGGCAGCAAACAAAGAAAGAAGUGCAGGUGAUGGCUGGUCAAAAUUAGCAGAGAAGAAGUCUUAUCUGCUGGUGGUUUAGUCGAGAUAAAAAUGUCAGUGCAGUGGUUUGAUCAGUCUGGUAUGCUUAUUGCAAGUGCAACUAAGCUGUAGACGGGAGUAAUUUGGAUGAAAUUAGGCUACUGUGAUCGUCGGGCUUUUUCUACCAUGGUGCUGAGCAAGAGAUGGUUCCAGCCAUGAAAUCAAGGUGGUCGGUUUAUGGCGUCCAUGAAUGGAAGAUGGCAGUGAUGGAGAUUGGUGCUGUAACCGGAGUAGAUAUUUGGGUUUUGUACCGAGACUUGGAAAAGGGCCUGAAUUUGGCAACUGGUGUUUACGAUUGGACCGGGCUUUGGCAGAUGUUGGCAGCGGUCAACAAGGGCAUUGAGACACCUAUAAGUAGGAAGACACAGACUCAUAGAGAGGUGGCCGGUUUUUGGGAGUUGUUUUUGACGUCGGCCACAGAGCCGAGAAUAGGAGGAAGAAGAGGCCGGUGACAUAGGCCGUUGGGAGAGACGCCGUUUACAAGGUUUUGGGAGUCGGCUGCUAGGCCGAAAACGAGAGAAGAAAAAGAGGCGCGUCUAGAAGCUAUCAAUAGGGGGAAGAUAAGGGUUUGUGAUUCUUGUGUUUUCAUUUCCAUAUUGAUUAGCUACUGAAUCUCUUUAAUAUGUUUAUGGCUUUUAAUAAAGCCAUGUUUGGCUAAACAUUUUUGUAACUAGGAUUUAUGGUUGAAAUUAUUUGGGGUAUUAGGCUAUUUAAAUUGAUGAAUUUAGCAAAAGACCAUUAUGAUAUGAAUAAACUAAUCUUGAAUAUUGUUUGUUGAUUUAUUGAAAA